CCGUGAUCUCCCCCUCUGGGCCUCAGGCUCCUUGUCUGUAAACAGGCGGGAUGGGCUGGAGAUGGACGCACAGACCCCAGCACGAGUGCUCACACAGCAGGUGCCCAGCUAAGCGGCACCCCUGGCUCACUCGGGCGUCUCUGGUGCCCCAGGCCUCACGUGGUACCUGAGUGUCCUCAUCGGGGUCUUGGUGACCUUCGUCCUGCUGCUCCUCGUCCUCCUCUUCCUCUUCCUCCGACACCGGGGUCAGGACAGACGCAGGAAGUCAGCAGCCGCAGCAUCAGUGCUUGAGGACAGAGGCAAGCAGAAGAGGUGAGACCUCUCCCAGACUCGCGUCCCACGGCCUGCCCAGGGCUCCCCCACCGCCCCAACACUGCUCAGCCCGACCUCUCCCCCAGACUCGCACCCCACCGCCUGCCCAGGGCUCCCUCCACCCCAACACUGCCCUCUCCUCCCCAGCUCCAGCCCAGCUGCUGAUGCCCCGGAGGAGAGCUUGUACUGUAAGGGGAAGGGGGGCACUGUCCUGGGGGCCUGGGAUCAGGUGGCAGUGGUUCUGGGCUUGGGAGGAGCGAGCUUGAGUCUGAUACUGGGUGGGGGAGGCUCCUGUCACCAAGCUGCUCUGGACAUUUGCUGUGGGAGGUGUGAGGGGGUCUGAGCAGGAGCUGGGCCCCCUUGUCCUGUCCCCACCAGGUGCCGUCAUGGAAGAUGCACGGCCAGAGCAUGGCAGAGUGCGGGACAGUCAGGUGAGACCCCCGUCUCCUCACUCACACACGGAGGGCAGAGGACACUGACCCCAAGGCCAGGUGGCCACCCCCCAGGAGCACCUGCUCCUGGGCUGCCGCGCCCCACACCUGGGCUCCUCCGCCCAGCACGCUGCUGAAUGCUCAGGUUGAGCUGGCAGAUUCUGUACUAGUCUGUACUACAUGCAAGCCCUGGGCCUGGACAGGGCCUCGUUGGUUGGGGCAGGGGUGGGGGGGGGGGGGGUGGGGGUUCCAAAUACGGGGGGGUUGUGAGGUUCCUGGGCCAGGGUGGGAGGGGG
rnacentral:lncRNA from 1 species